AAUAGAUACCCGGGUAGUCCACGCCGUAAACGAUGAGUGCUAAGUGUUAGGGGGUUUCCGCCCCUUAGUGCUGCAGCUAACGCAUUAAGCACUCCGCCUGGGGAGUACGGUCGCAAGACUGAAACUCAAAGGAAUUGACGGGGGCCCGCACAAGCGGUGGAGCAUGUGGUUUAAUUCGAAGCAACGCGAAGAACCUUACCAGGUCUUGACAUCCUCUGACAAUCCUAGAGAUAGGACGUCCCCUUCGGGGGCAGAGUGACAGGUGGUGCAUGGUUGUCGUCAGCUCGUGUCGUGAGAUAUUGGGUUAAGUCCCGCAACGAGCGCAACCCUUGAUCUUAGUUGCCAGCAUUCAGUUGGGCACUCUAAGGUGACUGCCGGUGACAAACCGGAGGAAGGUGGGGAUGACGUCAAAUCAUCAUGCCCCUCAUGACCUGGGCUACACACGUGCUACAAUGGACAGAACAAAGGGCAGCGAAACCGCGAGGUUAAGCCAAUCCCACAAAUCUGUUCUCAGUUCGGAUCGC
rnacentral:rRNA from 1 species